rnacentral:rRNA from 1 species
GAUCGGCCCGCGUCUGAUUAGCUUGUUGGUGAGGUAAUGGCUCACCAAAGCGACGAUCAGUAUCUGGUCUGAAAGGAUGAUCACCCACACUGGGACUGAGACACGGCCCACACUCCUACGGGAGGCAGCAGUGAUGAAUAUUGGACAAUGGGGGAAACCCUGAUCCAGCCAUGCCGCGUGAGUGAAGAAAGCCUUCGGGUUGUAAAGCUCUUUCAGAUGCGAAGAUAAUGACGGUACCAUCAGAAGAAGCCCCGGCUAAAUUCGUGCCAGCAGCCGCGGUAAUACGAAUGGGGCAAGCGUUGUUCGGAAUCACUGGGCUUAAAGCGUGCGUAGGCGGAUUUGUAAGUCAGAAGUGAAAUCCCCGGGCUUAACCCGGGAAUUGCUUUUGAGACUGCAAAUCUAGAAUCCAGGAGAGGUUAGCACAAUUCCCAGUGUAGAGGUGAAAUUCGCAGAUAUUGGGAAGAAUACCAGUGGCGUAAGCGGCUAACUGGACUGGUUUUGACGCUGAAGUACGAAAGCGUGGGUAGCAAACAGGAUUAGAUACCCUGGUAGUCCACGCUGUAAACGAUGUGUGCUUGUUGUCGGGCCCUUUGGGCUCGGUGACGGAAAAGAAAUCAUUAUACCCACCGGCCUGGGGGAA